GAUAGAGGGUCACCGGGAAGAGAUAAAAGAAAUUAUGGGUCAUGACUCAUGGGUAUACUUCAAACCACAUAAAUUCCAACCAAAAAGCAGAUGAUAGGGAUGUGAUUGCGAAGAUUUAAGAUUCAAGCUUUUCUAAAAAAAAAAAAAAAAAAUGAUGGCAGUUUGUGAGAUGAUAGGUUUCUGCAUUUGAAGCAGUUGUUAAUUAAUUUCUAUUGUGAUCAGAACAAAGACACAACAAUGUGUCUACUACAAUCUUUUCAAGAACUGAUGUUUCUGCAUCUCUACUCGUCAGUGUGCCUUCUUCUUUUCUUAUUUCUUUCUGUUCUAUAUUUAUUCAAGUCACAAAAACCAUCCACUGUUUGUUAUCCACCUUCUCCACCAAAGCUUCCAGUUAUCGGGAACCUUCAUCAAAUAGGACCACUACUCCACCUCUCGUUCCAUGAUUUGUCUAAGAAAUAUGGCCCGAUCAUGCUCUUACAUUUAGGUCAAUCACCAACUCUUGUAGUUUCUCUGUUUGCCAACAGACCUUUUACUGUUGCUGGUAAUGCUCUUCUCUAUGGAUGCACUGACAUUGCUUUCUCACCCAACAAUGAAUACUUGAGGAAAGUUCGAAGGAUGUGCUCUUUUGAGUUGUUGAGUAUCAGAAGAACUCAAACUUUCAAGUUUGUUAGGGAGGAAGAAACAGACAUUGUGAUGAGAAAGAUAAAUCUCUCUUCCACUGAGAGAAACACAAUCAAUUUAAGUGAAAUGUUACUUGCUCUCUCAAAUGACAUAAUCUGUAGGUAUACUCUUGGCAAGAAGUAUGAGAAAGGUGACAACAAAAGGUAUAGGGAAUUGCCAGACGAAGUGACAAAGCUAUUGGGGGCUGUUUGUUUCGGAGAUGUGUUCCCCUCAUUGAAAUUUUUGGAUGUUCUAACUGGAUUUAUUGGUAAGCUGAAAACGGUAUCCAAAAAAGUGGAUGCAUUUUUCGAUGAAGUAAUAGAUGAGCACCUUACUAAGCAAGAAAGUGUUAAUUUCCAAGAAAAUAGGAAGGAAUAGAUAUUCUGCUCGCAAGUCAGACGGAGCACCUGAACCUCACAAGAAACAAUAUGAAAGCAAUUCUACUGGACAUGUUUAUUGGUGGAACUGGUAGAACAUCAACAACCUUGACAUGGGCGAUGUCGGAACUAAUUAAGAAGCCAACACUGAAGAAGAAAGCCCAAGAUGAGGUAAGAGGAGUAAUUGGAAAGAAAAUAAAGGUGGACGAAGAUGACAUAAACCAAAUGAAGUAUUUAAGGUGUAUUAUUAAAGAGACUCUCCGCUUACAUCCUCCUGUACCACUUUUGAUUCCACGGGAGAACUUUACUAGUACAAAAAUAAAAGGUUAUGAUAUCCCCCAAAUACGACAGUCUUUGUUAAUGCAUGGGCAAUUCAGAGGGACUUGGAAUUUUGGAAUGAACCAGAGGAGUUUCGGCCAGAGAGAUUUGUCGACAACCCAAUUGAAUACAUGGGCAAGGAUUAUGAGUUUAUACCCUUUGGGUCUGGAAGAAGAGGGUGCCCAGGCAUAUCAUUUGGUGUUUCAGUCGUUGAGCUUGUUCUUGCUAACCUCUUAUUUUGGUUUGAUUGGGGGCUUCCUGAUGGUGAGGACUAUGAGAAGCUAGACAUGACAGAAAAUUUUGGUAUGGUUGUCUCUAAAAAGAUCCCUCUUCGUGUCAGCGCUAUGUCUCAUUUUCCUCAAUUGCAUAAGUCAAUGUAAUCCACUUUCUGCUAGAUAAUUGAGAAUUGCAAAAUGUUUAUUGUAAUGGAAUGCAAGGGAUAAUAUCCUAUAUUGGCACUAUACAACCUGAAACUAUGCUUUUUAGUCA